rnacentral:lncRNA from 1 species
AGGUUCAUAAAAAUGAAGACUCUUCAUUUUCAUGUAACUUAUGUGUUUUAAGUGUGUGUUAAAUGAAAGUGACCUUUGGUAAUCCAUAACUUGAGGACAAAUUAUGGACUCCAUUAAAACACAUAAAUGAUUAAGAAUUAAUUCUAAACAAUUCAGCAAAUAAUUCCUAUCAUUUUCUAAAUUCAUAAGAACAUGAACAUGAUCNAUCCAAAACUUUUCAUUUCAUAACUUAUGAAUUAAAGGUUCAUAAAAAUGAAGACUCUUCAUUUUCAUGUAACUUAUGGUUUUAAAUGUGUGUUAAAGAAAAGUGACCUUUGGAUAUCCAUAACUUGAGGACAAAUUAUGGACUCCAUUAAAACACAUAAAUGAUCAAGAAUUAAUUCCAAACAAUUCAGCAAAUAAUUCCUAUCAUCUUCUAAAUUCAUAAGAACAUGAACAUGAUCAUCAAAAUUUCAAGAAUUAUAUGAACACAUAAAAAUCAUGGAAUUUUGAUAUAUGCUAUUGUAAAUGGAUUAGAACAACCAUUACACCAACUAAAACAAGUUUUAAAACACCAAAACAGUUUAGGGUAAUGUUUCUAGUCCAUUUCGAGCAGCAAAAGUCGGAAAUUUGCACUCUGUGGCUCCUACUUGUCGAGUGCAUGAACCUACUCGGCGAGUAGGUUGAAGAUACACAUGAACUCGGCGAGUCCCCCCAUGGACUCGGCGUGUUCAUCAGGCAGGCAACAAGUUUUUCGACUUUUUCAACUAUUUUGCAUCAAGUAUCAAACAAGCAAGCCUAGGCUCUGAUACCACUGUUGGGUUUUGAGCAAUCUAACACUUCCUAAGUGUGCAUGCAACCCUAAUAAACCUUGGAUCUAUGUUUGUCUAAAUACAUGCAAAAUAAUAAUUUUCCAAGGU